rnacentral:rRNA from 1 species
UACGAAGGGUGCAAACGUUGCUCGGAAUUAUUGGGCGUAAAGCGCACGUAGGCGGCUUUUCAAGUCGGAUGUGAAAUCCCUCGGCUUAACCAAGGAAGUGCAUCCGAAACUGGAAGGCUUGAGUACUUAAGAGGAUCGCGGAAUUCCCGGUGUAGAGGUGAAAUUCGUAGAUAUCGGGAGGAACACCAGUGGCGAAGGCGGCGACCUGGGCCAAUAUUGACGCUGAGGUGCGAAAGCGUGGGGAGCAAACAGG